rnacentral:rRNA from 1 species
UCAUGGCUCAGGACGAACGCGGCGGCGUGCCUAAUACAUGCAAGUCGAACGCUUCUUUCCUCCCGAGUGCUUGCACUCAAUUGGAAAGAGGAGUGGCGGACGGGUGAGUAACACGUGGGUAACCUACCCAUCAGAGGGGGAUAACACUUGGAAACAGGUGCUAAUACCGCAUAACAGUUUAUGCCGCAUGGCAUAAGAGUGAAAGGCGCUUUCGGGUGUCGCUGAUGGAUGGACCCGCGGUGCAUUAGCUAGUUGGUGAGGUAACGGCUCACCAAGGCUACGAUGCAUAGCCGACCUGAGAGGGUGAUCGGCCACACUGGGACUGAGACACGGCCCAGACUCCUACGGGAGGCAGCAGUAGGGAAUCUUCGGCAAUGGACGAAAGUCUGACCGAGCAACGCCGCGUGAGUGAAGAAGGUUUUCGGAUCGUAAAACUCUGUUGUUAGAGAAGAACAAGGACGUUAGUAACUGAAC